rnacentral:rRNA from 1 species
GGACUGCGGGAGAUACUGUCAGGCUAGGAGGCGGGAAAGGCCGACGGUACUCUUGGGGUAGGGGUGAAAUCCUGUAAUCCCAGGAGGACCACCAGUGGCGAAGGCUGUCGGCUGGCACGCGCUCGACGGUGAGGGACGAAAGCUUGGGGAGCGAACCGGAUUAGAUACCCGGGUAGUCCAAGCUGUAAACUAUGCGGGCUAGGUGUUGGGGUGGCUACGGGUCACUUCAGUGCCGCAGGGAAGCCGUUAAGCCCGCCGCCUGGGGAGUACGGCCGCAAGGCUGAAACUUAAAGGAAUUGGCGGGGGAGCACCACAAGGCGUGAAGCUUGCGGUUCAAUUGGAGUCAACGCCGGAAACCUUACCGGGGGCGACAGCAGAAUGAUGGUCAGAUUGAUGGUCUUGCUUGACGAGCUGAGAGGAGGUGCAUGGCCGUCGCCAGUUCGUGCCGUGAGGUGUCCUGUCAAGUCAGGUAACGAUCGAGACCCACAUCCCUUGUUGCCUCUGAGGAGAGUCUCCGAAGGGCAAGACUAGGGAGACCGCCGCCGAUAAGGCGGAGGAAGGAGUGGGCCACGGCAGGUCAGUAUGCCCCGAAUCUCCCGGGCCACACGCGAGCUGCAAUGGCAGGGACAAUGGGUUCCGACUCCGAGAGGAGAAGGUAAUCCCGAAACCCUGUCGUAGUUGGGAUCGAGGGCUGAACCCGCCCUCGUGAAUCGUGGA